AAGAAGCACCGGGCUAACUACGUGCCAGCAGCCGCGGUAAUACGUAGGGUGCGAGCGUUGUCCGGAAUUAUUGGGCGUAAAGAGCUUGUAGGCGGUUUGUCGCGUCUGCCGUGAAAAUCCGGGGCUCAACCCCGGACUUGCGGUGGGUACGGGCAGACUAGAGUGUGGUAGGGGAGACUGGAAUUCCUGGUGUAGCGGUGAAAUGCGCAGAUAUCAGGAGGAACACCGAUGGCGAAGGCAGGUCUCUGGGCCAUUACUGACGCUGAGAAGCGAAAGCAUGGGGAGCGAACAGGAUUAGAUACCCUGGUAGUCCAUGCCGUAAACGUUGGGAACUAGGUGUGGGUCUCAUUCCACGAGAUCCGUGCCGCAGCUAACGCAUUAAGUUCCCCGCCUGGGGAGUACGGCCGCAAGGCUAAAACUCAAAGGAAUUGACGGGGGCCCGCACAAGCGGCGGAGCAUGUGGAUUAAUUCGAUGCAACGCGAAGAACCUUACCAAGGCUUGACAUAUACCGGAAACAUCUGGAGACAGGUGCCCCGCAAGGUCGGUAUACAGGUGGUGCAUGGUUGUCGUCAGCUCGUGUCGUGAGAUGUUGGGUUAAGUCCCGCAACGAGCGCAACCCUCGUUCUAUGUUGCCAGCGCGUAAAGGCGGGGACUCAUAGGAGACUGCCGGGGUCAACUCGGAGGAAGGUGGGGAUGAGGUCAAAUCAUCAUGCCCCUUAUGUCUUGGGCUUCACACAUGCUACAAUGGCCGGUACAAAGGGCUGCGAAACCGCAAGGUGGAGCGAAUCCCAAAAAACCGGUCUCAGUUCGGAUUGGGGUCUGCAACUCGACCCCAUGAAGUUGGAGUCGCUAGUAAUCGCAGAUCAGCAACGCUGCGGUGAAUACGUUCCCGGGCCUUGUACACACCGCCCGUCAAGUCACGAAAGUCGGUAACACCCGAAGCCGGUGGCCCAACCCU
rnacentral:rRNA from 1 species